AUGACUACAACAAGAUCUCCUUCAAGGAGCAGGUGCCCGUGCCCUUGGAGGAGGUGCUGCUGGAUGCCUCUCCCCAGGCUUUGGUCUUUCUGGGGAGGUUCCUCCUCUACCCUCCACUCCAGCGCAUUGCAGCCUCCCAGGCCCUCCUGCACCAGUACUUCUUCACAGCUCCCCUGCCGGCCCACCCCUCGGAGCUGCC
rnacentral:lncRNA from 1 species